rnacentral:misc_RNA from 1 species
GAGAUCCCAGUCAAAAUCAGGCUAUAGGAUCUUACAAAGCUGGAGUUUGCUUUGGGAGUUGUGUUGCCGUUUUUCUAGAAAAUCACCAUUAAUGGCGGCAUAAGUGGUAAUAAUGUUGAUUCAAGCUUAAUAGGCACUCCACAAUGGCUAUCUGCUGUGAGCACACUGUCAAGAUCUUAACAUACACCUUAUGGCAUCAUAUCAGUGACUCUCUGGUAACCGCCAUGGGAAUUCACUUGUGUCAAUUCCAGCUUGGUGAAGUUCAUCAACAUACUGUAAAGCUUCUCUACAUUCCUCACGAUCAUCAAAAAAUUCUCUCUUCUCACCUUCUAUUUGGAAUGCUUCAUGGCCUUUG